CUGGCUCAGGAUGAACGCUAGCUACAGGCCUAACACAUGCAAGUCGAGGGGUAGCGUGAGGGAAGCUGCUCCCUGACGACGACCGGCGAAUGGGUGAGUCACGCGUGUCCAACCUGCCCCGUGCCCGGGGAUAGCCCUUGGAAAUGAGGAUUAAGACCCGAUAUGUGGCGCUUCCGCAUGGCGGCGCCAUGAAGCAGGCACGGGAUGGGGACGCGUCGGAUUAGCUUGACGGCGGGGCUGCGGCCCACCGUGGCGACGAUCCGCAGGGGUUCUGAGAGGAAGGUCCCCCACACUGGCACUGAGACACGGGCCAGACUCCUACGGGAGGCAGCAGUGAGGAAUAUUGGUCAAUGGGCGGGAGCCUGAACCAGCCAAAGUAGCGUGCAGGACGACGGCCCUACGGGUUGUAAACUGCUUUUCCGGGAGGAUAAAGUGAGCCACGCGUGGUUCAUUGCAGGUAUCCCGGGAAUAAGGACCGGCUAAUUCCGUGCCAGCAGCCGC
rnacentral:rRNA from 1 species